rnacentral:rRNA from 1 species
GACGAACGCUGGCGGCGUGCCUAAUACAUGCAAGUAGAACGCACAGUUUAUACCGUAGCUUGCUACACCAUAGACUGUGAGUUGCGAACGGGUGAGUAACGCGUAGGUAACCUGCCUGGUAGCGGGGGAUAACUAUUGGAAACGAUAGCUAAUACCGCAUAAUAUUAAUUAUUGCAUGAUAAUUGAUUGAAAGAUUCAACUGCAUCACUACCAGAUGGACCUGCGUUGUAUUAGCUAGUAGGUGAGGUAACGGCUCACCUAGGGGACGAAACAUAGCCGACCUUGGAGGGUGAUCGGCCACACUGGGACUGGGACCAGGCCCAGACUCCUACGGGAGGCAGCAGUAGGGAAUCUUCGGCAAAGGAGGAAAGUCUGACCGAGCCACGCCGGGGGAGGGGAGAAGGGUUUCGGAUCGGAAAGAUCUGUUGUAAGAGAAGAACGGGUGUGAGAGUGGAAAGUUCACACUGUGACGGUAUCUUACCAGAAAGGGACGGCUAACUACGUG